GAAACCACUGCCGCACCACAAGGCCCAGCAACUGGGAGUAUGACAGGCACCACUGGGGUAGCCCCAGGCACAGCUGUUGGCCCUGGCACCUCCAACACAGGUAUAGUCUCCGGACGAACUGCGCCCCCCUGAAAUUUAUAUCACGG